rnacentral:rRNA from 1 species
AUUGAACGCUGGCGGCAGGCCUAACACAUGCAAGUCGAACGAGUGGCGGACGGGUGAGUAAUGUCUGGGAAACUGCCUGAUGGAGGGGGAUAACUACUGGAAACGGUAGCUAAUACCGCAUACCAUCGGAUGUGCCCAGAUGGGAUUAGCUAGUAGGUGGGGUAAAGGCUCACCUGGGCGAGGAACCGUAGCUGGUCUGAGAGGAUGACCAGCCACACUGGAACUGAGACACGGCCCAGAAUCCUACGGGAGGCAGCAGUGGGGAAUAUUGGACAAUGGGCGCAACCCUGAUGCAGCCAUGCCGAGUGUAUGAAGAAGGCGUUCGGGUCGUAAAGUACUUUCAGCGGGGAAGCGUUACCCGCAGAAGAAGCACCGGCUAACUCCGAGCCAGCAGCCGCGGUAAUUC